rnacentral:rRNA from 1 species
GAUGAACGCUGGCGGCGUGCCUAAUACAUGCAAGUCGAGCGAACCACUUCGGUGGUGAGCGGCGAACGGGUGAGUAACACGUAGGUGAUCUGCCCAUCAGACGGGGACAACGAUUGGACACGAUCGCUAAUACCGGAUAGGACGAAAGUUUAAAGGUGAUUCUGGCACCGCUGAUGGAUGAGCCUGCGGCACAUUAGCUAGUUGGGAGGGUAAGGGCCUACCAAGGCGACGAUGCAUAGGCGACCUGAGAGGGUGAACGGCCACACUGGGUCUGAUACACGGCCCAGACUCCUACGGGGGGCAGCAGUAGGGAAUCUUCGGCAAUGGGCGAAAGCCUGACCGAGCAACGCCGCGUGAAUGAUGAAGGCCUUCGGGUUGUAAAAUUCUGUUAUAAGGGAAGAACGACUUUAGUAGGAAAUGGCUAGAGUGUUACGGUACCUUAUGAGAAAGCCACGGCUAACUACGUGCCAGCCGCCGCGGUAA